ensembl:snoRNA snoRNA:Or-ACA7 snoRNA:Orphan H/ACA box 7
GGUGGGAGAGAAGGACCAGAUUCAAGUCCACAAACUUAAUCUUCUGCAAUUCAAAUCCGGAUUUCAGCGAGCACACUCAUUC